GACGAACGCUGGCGGCGUGCUUAACACAUGCAAGUCGAACGAAGUGGCGAACGGGUGAGUAACGCGUAAUCAACCUGCUCUUCAGAGGGGGACAACAGUUGGAAACGACUGCUAAUACCGCAUACUGAAGGAGGGGAUUGCGUCGGAUUAGUUAGUUGGAGGGGGAACGGCCCACCAAGGCGAUGAUCAGUAGCCGGUCUUGGAGGAUGAACGGGCACAUUGGGAAUGAGACAACGGCCAGAAUCCUACGGGAGGCAGCAGUGGGGAAUCUUCCGAAAUUGACGAAAGUCUGAAGGAGCAACGCCGCGUGGGUGAUGACGGCCUUCGGGUUGUAAAGCUCUGUUAAUCGGGACGCGUUACCGGAAUAGAAAGCCACGGCUAACUACGUGCCAGCAGCCGCGGUAAUAC
rnacentral:rRNA from 1 species